rnacentral:rRNA from 1 species
CUAACUACGUGCCAGCAGCCGCGGUAACACGUAGGAGGCAAACGUUAUCCGGAUUCACUGGGCGUAAAGCGCGUGUAGGUGGUUCUGUAAGUAGGGCGUGAAAGCUCCCGGCUCAACUGGGAGAGGCCGUACUAAACUGCAGAGCUAGAGGAUGGUAGAGGGAGGUGGAAUUCCAGGUGUAGUGGUGAAAUGCGCAGAUAUCUGGAGGAACACCAAUAACNAAANCNNCCUCCUANACCAUUCCUNACACUCANACNCNAAANCUANNNUANCAACUUAAAAGAGAGACUCCGGUAGUCCUACCCCUAAACGAUGCAGACUAGGGCGCCGGCGGUUUAAUCACCGUUCGGUGUCCAAGCUAACGCGAUAAGUAUGCCGCCUGAGGACUACGGCCGCAAGACUAAAACUCAAAGGAAUAGACGGGUCCCCGCACAAGCAGCGGAGCGUGUGGUUUAAUUCGAUGCUCCGCGAAGAACCUUACCUGGGUUUGACAUAACAGUGGUAGAGAAGUGAAAACGGAUCGACCCUUCGGGGAGCUGUUACAGGUGUUGCAUGCCUGUCGUCAGCUCGUGUCGUGAGAUGUUCGGUUAAGUCCGCUAACGAGCGCAACCCGCGCUGUGUGUUACAAGUGUCACACAGUACCGCCGGUAUUAAGUCGGAGGAAGGUGCGGAUGACGUCAAGUCAGCAUGACCUUUAUAUCCAGGGCUACACACACGCUACAAUGGUCAGAACAAUAGGUUGCCAAGCCGCAAGGCGGAGCCAAUCCUCCAAAUCUGGCCUCAGUUCAGAUUGCAGGCUGCAACUCGCCUGCAUGAAGUCGGAGUUGCUAGUAACCGCAGGUCAGCAUACUGCGGUGAAUAAGUUCCCGGGGAUUGUACACACCGCCCGUCAA